rnacentral:lncRNA from 1 species
AAAAAAAAAAAAACGCCUGAACCGAGAACGGAAAAAGAGAGGUUCGUGGUCUCCUGGGUAGAUUGAACUACAUGUCAUGGUUCACAUCUCACCUAACAGCCACGUGGGAACCCAUUCAAGAAAAAGGGAUCAAACGGUCAGGCGAAAUAAUGAUUGCCAAGGGGCAUCGAAAAGAUAAAAGAAAAGUUGCAGGAACCUCUGAUUCCGAUGUCUCCUGUGGAAGGAGCAAUUGUUAAUCUGGUACUUGACG